rnacentral:lncRNA from 1 species
UCUCUCUCUAAAAUUUUGAUAUAGUUACUCUCUUAAAUUUUAAGAUGCUUUCUCUCUUUAAAACUUCAAGUUUGAGAUAAUUUCUCUAUUUAAAAUUUGAUACAAUGUAAAUUUUGAUAUAUUUUCUCUCUUUAAAGCUUAAAUUUUGAUAUAGCUUCUCUCUAAAUUUUUUUUUGAGAUUGUUUCUCUCUCUAAAAAUUUCAUGUAUUUUCUCGAUCUAAAAUUUGAUACAGUUUAUCCCUCCAAAAUUUUAAAAUACUUUCUCACUCUAAAACAUAAAUUUUGCGAUAGUUUCUCUCUCCAAAAAUUUUGAGACAGUUUCUAUCUCUAAAAUGUUUUAGGUAGUUUCUCUCUCUAAAAUUUCAUAUAUAUUUUUUCUUUAAAAUUUUAAUAUAUUUUCUCUUUUUAAA